rfam:Ciona savignyi cont_31890, whole genome shotgun sequence.
GGUAGCAUGGCCGAGCGGUCUAAGGCGCUGGUUUAAGGCACCAGUCAUUUCGAUGGCGUGGAUCUCGAAUCCCACUGCUGCCA